UGGGGAAUCUUGCACAAUGGGGGCAACCCUGAUGCAGCGACGCCGCGUGAGCGAUGAAGCCCUUCGGGGCGUAAAGCUCUUUCGACCGGAACGAUAAUGACGGUACCGGGAGAAGAAGCUGCGGCUAACUACGUGCCAGCAGCCGCGGUAAUACGUAGGCAGCAAGCGUUGUUCGGAGUUACUGGGCGUAAAGAGUGCGUAGGCGGUUUUCUAAGUUCGGUGUGAAAUCUCCCGGCUUAACUGGGAGGGUGCGCCGAAGACUGGGAAGCUGGAGUGUGGGAAAGGCAGGCGGAAUUCCUGGUGUAGCGGUGAAAUGCGUAGAUAUCAGGAGGAACACCGGCGGUGUAGACGGCUUGCUAGACCAUAACUGACGCUGAGGCACAAAAGCGUGGGUAGCAAACA
rnacentral:rRNA from 1 species